AUGUACUCGCCGGCCUUCUGCGCUGCCUGCACCACCGGGGGGAUUGGUAGCUGCGGGCUCACCCACAUGGCCGUCACCCCGCUCGACCUCGUCAAGUGCAACAUGCAGGUGAGGGCCUCGAUCUGUGCUCCCACAUGCGUCUCGAGUUCAGUUCUCCAAGGAGUCGGCCUAGAUCUGGCCGUUAGGUUCGAUGCAGAUGCGGAUUUCGAUCUCCGCCAUCUACGCAGGCAUUUUGCGAUCGGGAUGCAUGAAUCUGGCCAGUUUCUGCUUCUCCGUGCUGUUAGUUUUAGUUCCCCGUAUGCUUUUUGUUGGCGCAGAUGUGCUUGA
rnacentral:rRNA from 1 species